rnacentral:rRNA from 1 species
GCAAGUCGAGGGGUAGCAGGGGGCUUGCUCCGCUGACGACCGGCGCACGGGUGCGUAACGCGUAUAGAACCUACCUUUUACUGGAGAAUAGCCUUUAGAAAUGAAGAUUAAUGCUCCAUAGUAUUAAGUUUCGGCAUCGAGAUUUAAUUAAAGAUUUAUUGGUAAAAGAUGGCUAUGCGUCCUAUUAGUUAGAUGGUAAGGUAACGGCUUACCAUGACUAUGAUAGGUAGGGGUCCUGAGAGGGAGAUC